rnacentral:sRNA from 1 species
UGGUAGAUGCACCCUGAUUCAAUAACCUCCGGUUUCGCGGCCGGAGGUUUUUUUU